CCGUUACAAACGACAGCUCGUUCAGCCUCUCAAAAGCCGACAGUGUGUCCAGUCAGAUGGCGAGACUCAGUACAAGUGAGUCAGAUGACGCAAUAUCUCCCAGAAUAAAUGCCUCAACUCAACAAAGACCGAGUGAUCAGAGUGAAGUGGACGGCAGGAUCAACAACGCUGCAGCGGUAAGGAGAGACUCUUAGUUUCACCUUUCACACUUUAACAGGUUUAGAACUAUCCUCUGCAUGUGAAGGGAUCUCUGGGAGCACUACGAACAUCCAGUGUGGAAACUGAUGAUUUGCUUAACUUUGAUCAAAUUGUGGGGCUUUAUGUGCAAGAGAGUAAAAAGAUAGC